rnacentral:miRNA from 1 species
CAAGGAGUAAUUAGUGACAUC